CUACGGGCUGCUGCAGGCGCGGAAACUUUACAAUGCACGCAAGUGUGAUAAGGGAAUCCAAAGUGCUUACGUUUUACGUAGGCUUUUGCCAAGUCUAAACAGCUUGGAGAAUAAGUGGUGGGUAAGACUGGUGCCAGCAGCCGCGGUAACCCCAGCGCCACGAGUGGGAGUCGCUUUUAUUGGGCCUAAAGCGUUCGUAGCGUGUUUAGUAAGUCUUUUGUGAAAUUGUCAGGCUUAACCUGACAGCGUGCAAGAGAUACUACUUUUCUUGGGACCGGGAGGAGUAUGAGGUAUUCCAUGGGGAACGGUAAAAUGUAAUAAUCCAUGGAGGACCACCAGUGGCGAAGGCGUCAUACUAGAACGGAUUCGACGGUGAGGGACGAAGGCCAGGGGAGCAAAACGGAUUAGAUACCCGGGUAGUC
rnacentral:rRNA from 1 species